rnacentral:rRNA from 1 species
CAAUAGCGUAUAUUUAAGUUGUUGCAGUUAAAAAGCUCGUAGUUGGAUUUCGGUUAAGAGAGACCGGUCCGCCGUUUGGUGUGCACUGGUUGGUUUUAACUUCCUGUAGAGGACGUGCUCUGGGUUUAACGACCUGGACUCGGAGUCUACGUGGUUACUUUGAAAAAAUUAGAGUGUUCAAAGCGGGCUUACGCUUGAAUAUUUCAGCAUGGAAUAACACUAUAGGACUCCUGUCCUAUUUCGUUGGUCUCGGGACGGGAGUAAUGAUUAAGAGGAACAGUUGGGGGCAUUCGUAUUUCAUUGUCAGAGGUGAAAUUCUUGGAUUUAUGAAAGACGAACUUCUGCGAAAGCAUUUGCCAAGGAUGUUUUCAUUAA